UACGGAGGGUGCUAGCGUUGUUCGGAAUUACUGGGCGUAAAGCGCACGUAGGCGGCUUUGUAAGUUAGAGGUGAAAGCCCGGGGCUCAACUCUGGAAUUGCCUUUAAGACUGCAUCGCUAGAAUUGUGGAGAGGUAAGUGGAAUUCCGAGUGUAGAGGUGAAAUUCGUAGAUAUUCGGAAGAACACCAGUGGCGAAGGCGACUUACUGGACACAUAUUGACGCUGAGGUGCGAAAGCGUGGGGAGCAAACAGG
rnacentral:rRNA from 1 species